rnacentral:rRNA from 1 species
UACGUAGGUCGCAAGCGUUGUCCGGAUUUACUGGGCGUAAAGAGCGCGCAGGCGGCUGGUCAAGUCCGACGUGAAAUCCCCCGGCUUAACCUGGGAACUGCGUCUGAUACUGGAGGCUUGAGUGCGGGAGAGGGAUGCGGAAUUCCAGGUGUAGCGGUGAAAUGCGUAGAUAUCAGGAGGAACACCGAUGGCGAAGGCAGGUCUCUGGGCCGAUACUGACGCUGAGGAGCGAAAGCGUGGGAGCGAACAGG